CCUUUUUCCGCUGGACUAACUUGGCGCCCCGGCCUUCGGGCGGUUAUUAUUGGGCGCGGUUUUGCCCGCGGCCUAUUUUUGGCACACGGCGGCCCCUCGCAAAGUCUCGUGGCAUUUCGAGUCCGGCGGACGAAGUUGGCCAGUCCCACCCCCCAAGGCUAUAGCCCACCCGUUUUUGUGGCCUUUUUCCGCUGGACUAACUUGGCGCCCCGGCCUUCGUGCGGUUAUUUUUGGGCACGGCUUUGUCCGUGGCCUAUUUUUGGCACACGGAGGCCCCUCGCAAAGUCUCGUGGCAUUCCGAGUCCGGCGGAUGAAGUUGGCCAGCCCCACCCCGCAAGGCUAUAGCCCACCCGUUUUUGUGGCCUUUUUCAGCUGGACGAACAUGGCGCCCCGGCCUUCGGGCGGUUAUUUUUGGGUACGGCUUUGCCCGCGGCCUAUUUUUGGCAUACAGAGGCCCCACGCAAAGUCUCCCGGCAUUCCGAGUCCGGCGGACGAAGUGGGCCAGCCCCACCCCCCAAGGCUAUAGCCCCCCCGCUUUUGUGGCCUUUUUCCGCUGGACGAACUUGGCGCCCCGGCCUUCGGGUGGUUAUUCUUGGGCGCUGCUAUGCCCAUGGCCUAUUUUUGGCACACGGAGGCCCAUCGCAAAGUCUCGCGCCUUUCCGAGUCCGGCGUACGAAGUGGUCCAGCCCCACCCCCCGAGGGUGUAGCCCACCCGUUUUUGUGGCCUUUUUCCGCUGGACGAACUUGGCGCCCCAUCCUUCAGGAUGUUNN
rnacentral:lncRNA from 1 species